rnacentral:Y_RNA from 1 species
GGUUGGUCUGAGUGCAGUGGUGUUUACAACUAAUUGAUCACAACCAGUUAUAGAUUCCUUUGUUCCUUUUCCACUCCCACUGCUCCACUUGACCAGCCUAAA